GUUUCAGCAGCCGCGGUAAUACAGAGGGUGCGAGCGUUAAUCGGAAUUACUGGGCGUAAAGCGCGCGUAGGCGGUUUUGUAAGUCGGGUGUGAAAGCCCCGGGCUCAACCUGGGAACUGCAUUCGAGACUGCAUAACUGGAGUAUUGGAGAGGGCAGUGGAAUUUCCGGUGUAGCGGUGAAAUGCGUAGAUAUCGGAAGGAACAUCAGUGGCGAAAGCGACUGCCUGGCCAAAUACUGACGCUCAUGUGCGAAAGCGUGGGGAGCAAACAGGAUUAGAUACCCCUGUAGUCC
rnacentral:rRNA from 1 species